GACGAACGCUGGCGGCGUGCCUAAUACAUGCAAGUCGAACGCAUUUUCUUUCACCGUAGCUUGCUACACCGAAAGAAAAUGAGUGGCGAACGGGAGAGUAACACGUGGGUAACUUGCCCAUCAGCGGGGGAUAAAACCUGGCAACAGGAGCUCAUACCGCAUAAUUCUAUUUACCGCAUGGCAGAUGGGUGAAAGCCGCUUUUGCGUCACUUAUGGGUGUACCCGCGGUGCAUUUGCUAGGUGGUGGGGUAAGGGCCUACCAAGGCUGUGAUGCAUAGCCGGCCUGGGAAGGUGGUCGGCCACCCUGGGACUGAGACACGGCCCAGACUCCUACGGGAAGCAGCAGGAGGGGAUCUUCGGCAAUGGACGGAAGUCUGACCGAACAACGCCGCGUGAGUGAAGGAGGUUUUCGGAUCGUAAAACUCUGUUGUUAGAGAAGAACAAGCAUGAGGGUGGAAAGUUCAUCCCUUGACGGUAUCUAACCAGAAAGCCACGGCUAACUACGUG
rnacentral:rRNA from 1 species